rnacentral:rRNA from 1 species
CUUCCGAUGGCGACCGGCGCACGGGUGAGUAACACGUAUCCAACCUGCCGAUAACUCGGGGAUAGCCUUUCGAAAGAAAGAUUAAUAUCCGAUAGGAUAUCAAGGUCGCAUGAUCUUGAUAUUAAAGAAUUUCGGUUAUCGAUGGGGAUGCGUUCCAUUAGUUAGUUGGCGGGGUAACGGCCCACCAAGACGACGAUGGAUAGGGGUUCUGAGAGGAAGGUCCCCCACAUUGGAACUGAGACACGGUCCAAACUCCUACGGAAGGCAGCAG